rnacentral:rRNA from 1 species
UACGAGGGGGGCAAGCGUUGUUCGGAAUUAUUGGGCGUAAAGGGCGCGUAGGCGGUGCGGUAAGUCUGAUGUGAAAUCUCCGGGCUCAACUCGGAGUCUGCAUCAGAAACUGCCGUGCUCGAGUGUGGGAGAGGUGAGUGGAAUUCCCGGUGUAGCGGCGAAAUGCGUAGAUAUCGGGAGGAACACCUGUGGCGAAAGCGGCUCACUGGACCACAACUGACGCUGAGGCGCGAAAGCUAGGGGAGCAAACAGG